rnacentral:tRNA from 1 species
GGCGAGAUGGCCGAGCGGUCUAAGGCGCCAGACUAAGGUUGUUCACUCAUCGAUAUCUGGUCCGAAAGGGCGUGGGUUCGAAUCCCACUCUCGUCA